rnacentral:rRNA from 1 species
AAAUUGAAGAGUUUGAUCAUGGCUCAGAUUGAACGCUGGCGGCAGGCCUAACACAUGCAAGUCGAACGGUAACAGAAAGAAGCUUGCUUCUUUGCUGACGAGUGGCGGACGGGUGAGUAAUGUCUGGGAAACUGCCUGAUGGAGGGGGAUAACUACUGGAAACGGUAGCUAAUACCGCAUAACGUCGCAAGACCAAAGAGGGGGACCUUCGGGCCUCUUGCCAUCGGAUGUGCCCAGAUGGGAUUAGCUAGUAGGUGGGGUAACGGCUCACCUAGGCGACGAUCCCUAGCUGGUC